rnacentral:rRNA from 1 species
GUGGGGAAUUUUGGACAAUGGGCGCAAGCCUGAUCCAGCAAUGCCGCGUGCAGGAAGAAGGCCUUCGGGUUGUAAACUGCUUUUGUACGGAACGAAACGGUCCGGGUUAAUACCUUGGGCUAAUGACGGUACCGUAAGAAUAAGCACCGGCUAACUACGUGCCAGCAGCCGCGGUAAUACGUAGGGUGCAAGCGUUAAUCGGAAUUACUGGGCGUAAAGCGUGCGCAGGCGGUUUUGUAAGACAGGCGUGAAAUCCCCGGGCUCAACCUGGGAAUUGCGCUUGUGACUGCAAGGCUGGAGUGCGGCAGAGGGGGAUGGAAUUCCGCGUGUAGCAGUGAAAUGCGUAGAUAUGCGGAGGAACACCGAUGGCGAAGGCAAUCCCCUGGGCCUGCACUGACGCUCAUGCACGAAAGCGUGGGGAGCAAACAGGAUUAGAAACCCCGGUAGUCC